rnacentral:rRNA from 1 species
GUGUCAGCAGCCGCGGUAAUACGAAGGGGGCUAGCGUUGUUCGGAAUUACUGGGCGUAAAGCGCUCGCAGGCGGAUUGAUAAGUCGGGGGUGAAAUCCCGGGGCUCAACCUCGGAAUUGCCUUCGAUACUGUCUAUCUAGAGUCCGGGAGAGGUGAGUGGAAUUCCUAGUGUAGAGGUGAAAUUCGUAGAUAUUAGGAAGAACACCAGUGGCGAAGGCGGCUCACUGGCCCGGAACUGACGCUCAUGAGCGAAAGCGUGGGGAGCAAACAGGAUUAGAUACCCUUGUAGUCC